rnacentral:lncRNA from 1 species
AGGAGGAAUGCCAAAAUGACUUUCCUCAAAAGAUGACAUAUCUAAAUUGAUGAAUUCAAAAAAUAAAAACUAACCACAAGGAGGAAUUGAGUAGAGGGUCGGAGGGCAGAGGCAGAGCCGAGAUUCUGAGCUUCCUCUUGUGCUCUCAACAGGAGUGACCUUCUCUUCUCAACAGGAACCUCCUCUUGUGUAGCACUUAAACACUUGCUAAAUGCAAACUAAAAAUUAAAUUGCUAGAAGAGCACUUUAGAAGAGAGAAAUAAUAGUAGUAGAGAAGGAGAGAAUAGUUGGUUUGGUGUGGUGAGAAUGAGGGAGGAAAGGGCUAUUUAUAGAAGCCCAAAAAAAAUUUUUUCCCAAAAUACCCCUCAAUUUAGCCGUUUUAGGACUGUUG